UCCAUGGAUGCAACAAAGGCU
rnacentral:siRNA from 1 species